GGUCAUAGCUCAGUUGGUAGAGUGCUAGCCUCAAAUGCACAAGGCCCUGGGUUCAAUCCCCAGCACCA
rnacentral:tRNA from 1 species